rnacentral:rRNA from 1 species
UACUGAGUUUACGCUCUAUAACCCUUUGUGAACAUACCUAUAACUGUUGCUUCGGCGGGCAGGGUCUCCGUGACCCUCCCGGCCUCCCGCCCCCGGGCGGGUCGGCGCCCGCCGGAGGAUAACCAAACUCUGAUUUAACGACGUUUCUUCUGAGUGGUACAAGCAAAUAAUCAAAACUUUUAACAACGGAUCUCUUGGUUCUGGCAUCGAUGAAGAACGCAGCGAAAUGCGAUAAGUAAUGUGAAUUGCAGAAUUCAGUGAAUCAUCGAAUCUUUGAACGCACAUUGCGCCCGCCAGCAUUCUGGCGGGCAUGCCUGUUCGAGCGUCAUUUCAACCCUCAAGCUCUGCUUGGUGUUGGGGCCCUACAGCUGAUGUAGGCCCUCAAAGGUAGUGGCGGACCCUCCCGGAGCCUCCUUUGCGUAGUAACUUUACGUCUCGCACUGGGAUCCGGAGGGACUCUUGCCGUAAAACCCCCCAAUUUUCCAAAGGUUGACCUCGGAUCAGGUAGGAAUACCCGCUGAACUUAAGCAUAUCAAUAAGCGGAGGAAAAGAAACCAACAGGGAUUGCCUCAGUAACGGCGAGUGAAGCGGCAACAGCUCAAAUUUGAAAUCUGGCCCUAGGCCCGAGUUGUAAUUUGCAGAGGAUGCUUUUGGUGC